rfam:Dermacoccus sp. PE3 Contig4, whole genome shotgun sequence.
CGGGCGCUGCUAGGCUCCCGUCGUCGCCUCAAGAUCGAGGAACCCGGUGAGAAUCCGGGACGGUCGCGCCACUGUGAGCGGGUUUUCCGCGAGUCAGGAACUCGAGGGCGAAGCAUUGUCGGG